CCCUUAGAUGUUCUGGGCCGCACGCGCGCUACACUGACUACUUCAACGAGUUGUUUCCUUGAUCGAAAGGUCUGGGUAACCUUUGAAAGGUAGUCGUGAUGGGGAUAGAUCCUUGCAAUUUUUGAUCUUCAACGAGGAAUUCCUAGUAAACGCAAGUCAUCAGCUUGCAUUGAUUACGUCCCUGCCCUUUGUACACACCGCCCGUCGCACCUACCGAUUGAAUGGUCCGGUGAAUCUUUAGGACUGUGGCUGAGGCCUUGCCUUGUGCGGGUCUGGCCGUGGGAAUUUAGUUAAACCUUACCAUUUAGAGGAAGGUGAAGUCGUANCA
rnacentral:rRNA from 1 species